rnacentral:rRNA from 1 species
GACGAACGCUGGCGGCGUGCUUAACACAUGCAAGUCGAGCGGAAAGGCCCUUCGGGGUACUCGAGCGGCGAACGGGUGAGUAACACGUGAGUAACCUGCCCCAGACUUUGGGAUAACCCUCGGAAACGGGGGCUAAUACCGGAUACGACACAGCUACGCAUGGGGUCUGUGUGGAAAGUUUUUCGGUUUGGGAUGGGCUCGCGGCCUAUCAGCUUGUUGGUGGGGUGAUGGCCUACCAAGGCGACGACGGGUAGCCGGCCUGAGAGGGCGACCGGCCACACUGGGACUGAGACACGGCCCAGACUCCUACGGGAGGCAGCAGUGGGGAAUAUUGCACAAUGGGCGGAAGCCUGAUGCAGCGACGCCGCGUGAGGGAUGACGGCCUUCGGGUUGUAAACCUCUUUCAGCAGGGACGAAGCGUAAGUGACGGUACCUGCAGAAGAAGCGCCGGCCAACUACGUG